rnacentral:rRNA from 1 species
ACCCCCCGAAUUGUAGUCUAGAAAGGCGCCAUCGGCCGCGUCCGCCGCUCAAAUCCCUUGGAACAGGGUAUCGGAGAAGGUGAGAAUCCUGUGCCGUGGCGGUUCGCGGCCGCACGAUGCGUCCUUGUCGAGUCGGGUUGCUUGGGAUUGCAGCUUGAAGUGGGUGGUAAAUUCCAUCUAAAGCUAAAUAUGGGCGAGAGACCGAUAGCGAACAAGUACCGUGAGGGAAAGAUGCAAAGAACCUUGAAAAGAGAGUUAAAGAGUGCUUGAAAUCGGCAGGAGGAAACCCGUUUGCGCCCGGCUUCGCGCCGUCGACUCAGCCGCGCGUCUUCGCGCGGUGCACUUUGUCGGCGCGGGUCAUCCUGGGCUAUUCGGGCGAGAAAGGCCCGCGGGCAGGGCUUCGGCGAGCCCGCGGGAGCGUCGCGCGAGUGGCUCCGGCUGACGGAACGGGCGCAACCGACCCGUCUAGAAACACGGACCAAGGAGUCUGACACGUGUGCGAGUACCCGGGUGGCAAGCCCGCGUGCGCAAUGAAAGUGAAGGGCGCAGCCCGCCAACCGACCUUGAUCUUCUGUGAAGGGUUUGAGUGGAGCACAUCUGUCGGGACCCGAAAGAUGGUGAACUAUGCCUGAGGAGGGUGAAGCCAGAGGAAACUCUGGUGAGGCUCGUAGCGAUACUGACGUGCAAAUCGUUCGUCGAACUUGGGUAUAGGGGCGAAAGACUAAUCGAACCAUCUAGUAGCUGGUUCCCUCCGAAGUUUCCCUCAGGAUAGCUUGAACGCCGACGGUUUUG